AGAGUUUGAUCCUGGCUCAGGACGAACGCUGGCGGCGUGCCUAAUACAUGCAAGUAGAACGCUGAAGAGAGGAGCUUGCUCUUCUUGGAUGAGUUGCGAACGGGUGAGUAACGCGUAGGUAACCUGCCUUGUAGCGGGGGAUAACUAUUGGAAACGAUAGCUAAUACCGCAUAACAAUGGAUGACACAUGUCAUUUAUUUGAAAGGGGCAAUUGCUCCACUACAAGAUGGACCUGCGUUGUAUUAGCUAGUAGGUGAGGUAACGGCUCACCAAGGCAACGAUGCAUAGCCGACCUGAGAGGGUGAUCGGCCACACUGGGACUGAGACACGGCCCAGACUCCUACGGGAGGCAGCAGUAGGGAAUCUUCGGCAAUGGGGGCAACCCUGACCGAGCAACGCCGCGUGAGUGAAGAAGGUUUUCGGAUCGUAAAGCUCUGUUGUAAGUCAAGAACGAGUGUGAGAGUGGAAAGUUCACACUGUGACGGUAGCUUACCAGAAAGGGACGGCUAACUACGUGCCAGCAGCCGCGGUAAUACGUAGGUCCCGAGCGUUGUCCGGAUUUAUUGGGCGUAAAGCGAGCGCAGGCGGUUUGAUAAGUCUGAAGUUAAAGGCUGUGGCUCAACCAUAGUUCGCUUUGGAAACUGUCAAACUUGAGUGCAGAAGGGGAGAGUGGAAUUCCAUGUGUAGCGGUGAAAUGCGUAGAUAUAUGGAGGAACACCGGUGGCGAAAGCGGCUCUCUGGUCUGUAACUGACGCUGAGGCUCGAAAGCGUGGGGAGCGAACAGGAUUAGAUACCCUGGUAGUCCACGCCGUAAACGAUGAGUGCUAGGUGUUGGAUCCUUUCCGGGAUUCAGUGCCGCAGCUAACGCAUUAAGCACUCCGCCUGGGGAGUACGACCGCAAGGUUGAAACUCAAAGGAAUUGACGGGGGCCCGCACAAGCGGUGGAGCAUGUGGUUUAAUUCGAAGCAACGCGAAGAACCU
rnacentral:rRNA from 1 species